GAAAUCGCCUAUUUCAGCGAUUGGUUUCAACAUGACUGGGAUUAAACUCUGUUCAGACUGGACGUAGACGUUUAGUAUCUGGCUCAAAAAGCGCACUUUUGUUUAUUUGUUUGGGUGUGAAAUUAAUUUACUUUAAAGAACGGCUUUAUUCCUUUUACGAUUAGCACCUUAUAGCUCUCUCCUAAAGCAUUUUCAGUGGCUGUUAUAAACGUGGAUUGUAAAACCAUAUUAGAAACAACUAUCCUCACGAGCAAAGUCUUUAUACACUUUUUUCUACAUUAUAAGUGUUAGAUCAGAGAAUAAUUAAACGAGAACCUGAAUUGGUUUUUAACUUUAUGAAUUUUUGUCACUUAUAUUUAUAAAAUCACACCAAAAAAAAGUAUCUGUUAUUUGUUCCUGCUGUUUUGUUAUCUUAUAUAAAUAUUAUCAUAUUUAUAGCUGGUUUUUUUGUUUGCUAUAUUGUGAUAAAAUUUGUAGCUAGUUUCAAACUAGCCAUGGUAUUUUAUUUUAAAAAUUGUUUUCUUUCCUAUAUAUGAGCAAUUGUUUAAAUGUAAACGAUGUCAUCAGAUGAUAAUUUGAUUGAUUUCAGCUCUGAUGAAUUGCUAAUACCAACUGCUUCACAGGUAUCCAUGUCAAUUCCAGAACUACAAGUAAAUACUCCAAUAAGUUUACCUUUUGACACCCCUAAAAUAGAAAAAUCUAAUAAAAGUUUUUUUGCAAUAACCCGUGAAGAAACUGCAAAUGAAAGUGUUCAAAAUGAUGGUUCAAGUGAGUUAUUUAAUACCCUUUCUGAAAUGCAUAUAUCUAAUUCAAAUUUAACAGCAAUCGAUGGUAUAUCUUAUAAUACAGACUUAGUUAAACAACUUGAUGAACAAAAUGACUUUGAAAAAGUAAAUGAACAUUUCUUUCCAGUAAAUCAUUUAGAAAACUCUUUUUCAACAUCAACUCCCGUACAUGUAACAGAUACAGGUUCAACUCUUAUAUUAGAUAAUAAUAAUUUUGUUUCUCCUUCUGUAUCUUCUACCUCUCAAAACAUUGUUAUGACAGCAUCACAUAGCUGUGCAGAACCACCAUCAAGAUUUAGAAUUGUUAAAAUUGCCAAAACAAAACCCUAUGACAAAGGUAAAUGGAUAAUUAAUGAUUAUACAGAUUUUCAGAAACAAAACAUUAACGAUUGUGAAAGUAGUGGGUCUAGUAUAGAGAAAAAAAAUGGAGAUAGUUAUAGUAGUGAUGAACAUAAAGAUAUUACAAAAACGGUCGCAUCACUUACACCUCGUAAAACUAUGUCUAAUGAGUUGAUUUCUAACAGCGUAUUUUCAAUAUCACGAGGAGGAAGUUGCUGCUCCAACUUUCUAGAAAAGAACUUAGUUGAAAGUGACAUAACAAACUCCUAUCUUGAAAAAAAUUUACAUCUGAGAAGAGCUGCAACUUAAUGCUGAGAUGAUCCUCUUCUUGAAUAAUGAGUUCCUGCUUUUCCAGCUUGAUUUUAUUUUGUGUAUCUAUUCACAAUCCUGGUCAAAGUACUCAUCAUGUUAUUCCUGUUGUUGAAGCUCUUGACACAGCAAUGGAUCAAAUCCAACAAAUUCGUGACGCCAUGAUACAUGCUGUCACUGACGAAAUGCGAACCUUACAAGAUAGUCUUGCCAACCUGCAACUCGAAUAUAACAAAUUAAA
rnacentral:misc_RNA from 1 species